rnacentral:rRNA from 1 species
GACAGAGGAGGCAAGCGUUGUUCGGAAUUACUGGGCUUAAAGCGGGUGUAGGCGGCUGCGCAAGUGUCCUGUGAAAGCCCACGGCUCAACCGUGGAACGGCAGGGCAAACUACGUAGCUUGAGGCCGGUAGAGGUGCCUGGAACUCUAGGUGGAGCGGUGAAAUGCGUAGAUAUCUAGAGGAACGCCAGAGGCGAAAGCGGGGCACUGGGCUGGUACUGACGCUGAGACCCGAAAGCGUGGGGAG